rnacentral:rRNA from 1 species
AACGAACGCUGGCGGCGUGUCUUAAGCAUGCAAGUCGAACGAGAACCCGGAGCUUGCUUCGGGGGGCAGUGGCGAACGGGUGAGUAACACGUGGGUAAUCUACCCUCGGAUGGGGGAUAGCACUAGGAAACUAGUGAUAAUACCGCAUUACGUCGCCUUGUCACAAGACAGGGCGAACAAAGGCGCCCUCUGUAUAUGGUGCCGUCUGAGGAUGAGCCCGCGGCCUAUUAGCUAGUUGGUAGGGUAAUGGCCUACCAAGGCGACGAUGGGUAGCCGGCCUGAGAGGGUGUUCGGCCACAUUGGGACUGAGACACGGCCCAGACUCCUACGGGAGGCAG